ensembl:lncRNA PCBP1-AS1 PCBP1 antisense RNA 1
GAACACAAAAUGGCGACACGUGAGGAAGACAAACAUAAAGAUGAAGUGCUUAAUUCAAGGUCACACAAUGUCGGGGAUGGACCUCCAGAUUUCCUUACUGGAAAACAAGCUCAGGGCUCCCACUGAUUGUACAUUAUGGUGAGACGUGGUCUUGUAACACAGUGGUUAAGAAUGUGACUUUGGAGCCAGCCUGCUAGGGGCUGAAUUCUGACUCAGCCAUUUACUAACUGUGUGACCUUAGUUCCCUGAGCACAUGCUGUUGAGUAAUCCUGCCUGGACCAGUACUUCCCUCACCCUAGACUUCACCUUCAGUUCCCCUUUAUACCACCUGCUGAAGCUGCCAGCCAGCCUUUUCGACCACCCUCCCUCCCCCAGGGGUGUUUGGCUUCUCAGACCCCAGCCUGAGCUAGUGCCCUUGGCUUCCUAGGGUCUUGCCAGGAAAGCAAAGGAGAACAUGCAUACCGCCAAAGAGUACCUAAUAAUAAGAACUCCCAUCCUGAAUUGUGAUUUAUAGUCAGCAUAGCACAUGUGUCAGGUGAUUAUACUUAGGCUGAUUUUAGCCUUAAUAAUCUGCUUCUGUGAUCCUGUAUGUGGGAAGCCUAGAAAUUUCUCUGUGAUCCUCCUUCCUGGAUCACUAAGAGACAAGUCAAGACAUAGGUCCAUUCUACCACCUGUGUUAAUCUGGGCCUUGUUGAGACCAUUUAAAGAAAGGCGUGAUGCUAGAAGUAAGGUCCAGGCCUCCUGCACACUGUUUCAAGGCUGUGACCAUAGUCAGAUCCUGUUGCUUGAGUCCAAAGAGUUUAAAAUAGUGUUGGAAACCUCCUAGGGAAAAAACAAAAAACAAAACACCACAUCUUCCUGGGUAAGGAAGUGACAUGUGCUGACUAGAGCAGGAGGGGUAGCCAAGGCUCCAAGUUCUAUUCUGGACCUGUUGUUGAUUUGAGGUGUGACAUUCAGCAAUCUGAGCUGAUGUUCUGUAGCUCUGAUUGGUUUCUCAUCUUCUGCAGAGAGAGUGAAAGAGGCUGUGCUUGCAGGGGAAAAGGUGAACACUGGUCUCCUGUCCUUUAGGAGAGCUUCACCAUUACACGUCCUGCCUCUCAUUUGAAUUUCCAGGCUUUUUUAGAGUCUCGCUCUAUUGCCCAGAUUGGAGUGCAGUGGUGUGAUCUCGGCUCACUGCAACCUCUGCCUCUGGGUUUAAGCGAUUCUCUCACCUCAGCCUCCCAAGUAGCUGGAAUUAUAGGUGCGUGCCACCAUGCCUGGCUAAUUUUUGUGUUUUUAGUAGAGAC